rnacentral:tRNA from 1 species
CCGGAGUGAGUCGGAGUGAAAACAGCGGACUCAUAAUCCGUCGGCCGUGGGUUCGAGUCCCACCCGCCCCA